rnacentral:rRNA from 1 species
ACGCUGUAAACGAUGAUCACUAGGUGUGGGGGGACUGACCCCUUCCGUGCCGGAGCAAACGCAAUAAGUAAUCCACCUGGGGAGUACGGCCGCAAGGUCGAAACUCAAAGGAAUUGACGGGGGCCCGCACAAGCAGUGGAGUAUGUGGUUUAAUUCGAAGCAACGCGAAGAACCUUACCAGGUCUUGACAUCGAGUGAAGACUUAAGAGAUUAAGUCGCCUUCGGGCACAAAGACAGGUGGUGCAUGGUUGUCGUCAGCUCGUGUCGUGAGAUGUUGGGUUAAGUCCCGCAACGAGCGCAACCCUUACCAUUAGUUGCUACGCAAGAGCACUCUAAUGGGACUGCCGUUGACAAAACGGAGGAAGGUGGGGAUGACGUCAAAUCAUCAUGCCCCUUAUGACCUGGGCUACACACGUACUACAAUGGCAAUCAAACAGAGGGAAGCAAUACAGCGAUGUAAAGCAAAACCCGAAAAAUUGUCUCAGUUCGGAUUGCAGGCUGCAACUCGCCUGCAUGAAGUCGGAAUUGCUAGUAAUCGCAGAUCAGCAUGCUGCGGUGAAUACGUUCCCGGGCCUUGUACACACCGCCCGUCACACCAUGGGAGUCGGUAACACCCGAAGCCAGUAGUCUAACCGCAAGGAGGACGCUGUCGAAGGUGGGAUUGAUGACUGGGGUG